rnacentral:misc_RNA from 1 species
AGCAGCCGCGGUAAUUCCAGCUCCAAUAGCGUAUAUUAAAGUUGUUGCAGUUAAAAAGCUCGUAGUUGAAUUUCGGGGUUAGUAGGUUGGUCAUGCCUCUGGUAUGUACUGGUCUCACUGAUUCCUCCUUCCUGAUGAGCCGUAAUGCCAUUAAUUUGGUGUUGCGGGGAAUUUGGACUGUUACUUUGAAAAAAUUAGAGUGUUUAAAGCAGGCAUUUUGCUUGAAUACAUUAGCAUGGAAUAAUAAAUAGGACGGCAUGGUUCUAUUUUGUUGGUUUCUAGGACCACCGUAAUGAUUAAUAGGGAUAGUUGGGGCAUUAGUAUUCAAUUGUCAGAGGUGAAAUUCUUGGAUUUAUUGAAGACUAACUACUGCGAAAGCAUUUGCCAAGGAUGUUUUCAUUAAUCAAGAACGAAAGUUAGGGGAUCGAAGACGAUCAGAUACCGUCGUAGUCUUAACC